GAAAGAUUUCCCAGACAACCCAAAGAGAUUUUCUGAUUGUGUUAGUGUUUUAGGAAAACAGAGUUUCUCUUCAGGCAGAUUUUACUUUGAGGUUCAAGUUAAAGGAAAGACUAAAUGGACUUUAGGAGUGGCCAGAGAGUCGAUCAACAGGAAGGGAAGCAUCACACUGAGACCUCAGAAAGGUUACUGGACUAUAUGGUUGAGAAAUAGAAAUGAGUACAAAGCUCUUGAUGACCCUCCAGUCCGUCUCUCUCUGAAGUCUCCUCCUCAGAAGGUGGGGGUGUUUGUGGAUUAUGAGGAGGGUCUGGUCUCCUUUUAUGACGUAGAUGCUGCAGCUCUUAUCUACUCCUUUACUGGCUGCUCCUUCACUGAGAAACUCUUCCCAUACUUCAGUUCCAGUACUAAUGAUGAUGGUAAAAACUCUGCCCCUCUGAUCAUCUCUCCUGUCAGAGUAAACUAAUCACUGAUCUCAUUUCAGGUAUUGAUUUAUUUUCAAUAAAGGGAACAAAUGUACAUAUUCAUAUAUUUUACAUCUUAUUUUCUACAGAAUCUGUUUCCUGUGGUGACUGAUUUACACUUUAUUCCAUUUAUUAUCAUAUGGUUAAAUGUGCAGCAAUUCUUUGCAAACUGAAUCAAACUUCAUCUUGACAUAUUUGGUGUCUUUAGAAACUGAUUUCUUCUGGAAGUUAUAAUAAAUUUCUGUGGGUUUAACAGAGGUUUAAAUAGAUAUCCUCCACAUAACGUGUGUCAUGAUGCAUCAAAUUAAUGUGUUGAUUAUGUAAUCAGAUACACAUUUAUUUGUAUUUGAUGUGCAGCCACAGAAAACAUAUUGCUGAAUAUUU